rnacentral:rRNA from 1 species
UACGGGGGGGGCAAGCGUUGUUCGGAAUUACUGGGCGUAAAGGGCUCGUAGGCGGCCAACUAAGUCAGCCGUGAAAUCCCUCGGCUUAACCGGGGAACUGCGUCUGAUACUGGAUGGCUUGAGGUUGGGAGAGGGAUGCGGAAUUCCAGGUGUAGCGGUGAAAUGCGUAGAUAUCUGGAGGAAUACCGGUGGCGAAGGCGGCAUCCUGGACCGACAUUGACGCUGAGGAGCGAAAGCUAGGGGAGCAAACGGG